ACAGAGGGUGCAAACGUUGCUCGGAAUUACUGGGCGUAAAGCGCGUGUAGGCUGACAUGCAAGUCGGAUGUGAAAUCCCAGGGCUCAACCUUGGAACUGCAUUCGAAACUGCACGUCUUGAGUACUGGAGAGGGAAGCGGAAUUCCGGGUGUAGAGGUGAAAUUCGUAGAUAUCCGGAGGAACACCAGUGGCGAAGGCGGCUUCCUGGACAGUAACUGACGCUGAGACGCGAAAGCGUGGGGAGCAAACAGG
rnacentral:rRNA from 1 species